AAGCUCGUAGUUGAAUUUCGGGGUCAAUUCACUGGUCGUGCCAAUGGUACGUACUGGUUUUGUUGAUUCCUCUCUUCUGAGGAGCCGCGAUGUCAUUAAUUUGGUGUCGCGGGGAAUCAGGACUGUUACUUUGAAAAAAUUAGAGUGUUUAAAGCAAGCUAACGCUUGAAUACAUUAGCAUGGAAUAAUGAAAUAGGACGUUUGAUCUUAUUUUGUUGGUUUCUAGGAUCGACGUAAUGAUUAAUAGGGAUAGUUGGG
rnacentral:rRNA from 1 species